AAACAGCUUUCUGAAAUGCAGUUCUUUCUGUUCCCGCUGUUAUCAUUUCCUAGGACACUGGGAAAGACCCCGAGCUCUAAAUGUUGGAUUAAGAUCUUCACUUCAGCAGCUGAGGAGUUGCACAUCAUUCCAGUUUUUAAUUGUCUUGGAAAACUUAUUCAGGACAAGAAAAGUGUGGGUAUAACUGAUCUGUGUGCAUACAAUCACACUCAGGAAACUGGGAAAAAGAUUCUUGAGGGCAGAAAGAAAGAUCUACCUGGUGGUGGCAUAACAAAAAGAUUAUACAACCCUGCAAGAAGAAUGUUAUUUAAGAGAAUCCUCAAAGGCCACUCUAAGGAUUGCUGCUGAGAAUAAAGCAUCUGAGAUGGAUAAUGUUCUUACA
rnacentral:lncRNA from 1 species